GUAGGAGUUACAGAUAAUGUAUGCGGUCCAGCCUCAGUAAAUGGUGCUCUUCAUUCCCAAUGUCUGCCAACUUCCCACGUCUCUCGGGACCGUCUACCACUUCCUGGAGGCCUCUUUGCCCCGCCCCCGCUGUCCCUGCUCCCUCCUUGUCUGCACAGGCUCUCAGCUGUGGACCGUGGGAUCCCCCGGAGCUAGUUCGUGCCCCAGGCGGGUUAGGGAGGGGUGCAGACCUCACAGAUGCAGGCCCCGGGUGGUCUGCCGGGGACCAGAUGGCAAGGGCUCCCAGAGGUCCUGGCCCCACCAGGAGCCACGUCAGGGUGUUGCAGCCUUGGCCCCUGCUUUUUGGAAUGAAGCCGCCUCCGGCCCAAUCUACCCCAACAAAAUGAUGCCACGUCCCUGCCUCUGCCUCUCAGAAGUCCGCCCCGACUCCAAGUCUCCCGCAGGAGCAUGGGGUUCGUCGAAACUAAAUCACACCUCUGACCCAGCAGGUCUCUCGUUUCCACGCUGGAAAGGGGACACCCAGCACCGGACAUCUGAUUCCAAUCGGAAACCGGAGAGAAGGAAACAAAGAUGUUUGGGAUGAACACUACCCCCAAGUACGGCACCUGGGGUGUACUGAGCACUUUGAGCUGAAGGAGUCUGAUGAACAGCAGAAGCAGGAAGGUCACUGUGACCUUCCCCAUCUCCCCUGAGACAGGUCAUGAAACGUAAGGGAGAGGUGAGGAGAGGGGCAUCGUUAUCCCCGAAGACAAAGGGACCCAAGGAGAGUCCAGACAGACCUCGCACAGGCCCCCUGCUUCCUUACGGCGCCUGACUCCUACUCUGACCUCCCCGGUCCCUCUGUGCCCUUGUCAGACCCGCGGAAAAACCCUCAGUACAGCCGCACUCGGGUAUAACUGCUUCUCGGGGGCGACCACCUUGUGAAGACUCCCGUGUCACAUAAAACUCGUGUUACGUCGAUUUGUAUGUUUUUCGCCCAGUACCUGUCCUUGCCAGGUUAAUUUUCAGGCCCAGCCAGGGACUCUGAGAGGGCCAAGGAAAAGCUUCUCCUCUCCUGCACUGGUCAGCUCUGACCUCAAGCUGAUGGGCACCUCGGGCAGUGUAACGAAUGGGCCGACCCGGCUUCCGGCGUGACCCAGGAAGGCAGUGUGAGUCAGGGCCAGCACUGCCGGGACGAGUCCCUGCCUCCCCGAGGGCUGCCCUUUCUCCGGCGUGGGAUCCGAACAUGUCCGUCCGGGCUCUCGUUUUUCUAAUGGUCCCAGUCUGUGCAAUGAGGCCAGGGGCCAGCAGGCGUGAGCACAGGCCGGUGGGGGGCACUGGGGACUACACGGAUGACCAGAGUCUGAACUAGCUGCACCGCCCCCCGAGACCGGCCAGGCCGCAGCCCCUACCUACGGACAGGAUGGCGGGCCAUGGUAGGCCCUCUGCUAUCGCUGCUCACCACCAUGAUUCUGUGGAAUACUUACCGUAACGAUAUUUUAUACAAACACAGACCAAAGAAAUGCUGCUUCCACCCUACAGGAGCCCUGGUGCCCUUGACAACACCUUGGCCUGCUCUCUCACAGGGACGCCUGCCCCACUGGGAGCUUCUCCUCCAGAGGCUGCUGAGGCCUGACACGCAGCCGUGGCCUCCUGGACGAAGCAGCUGUCUGUCGUAGGGUCCGACGGGAGAUGGGGACUCACCCAGAGCCCUGAAGGAAUGGCGGCCUAGGUUGCCCCUGGGCUGCGCGCCUGGUCCCGGUGGCUGCGUGCAGAGGCUCAUUUUCCUGGAUGUCGUGCUAGCUCUGGGGACCUACUUAGGAAACAGCAGAACCAAGGCCGCCUUCCACUUGCUGGAGGUGGUGGGAGGGUUCCGGAAGACCCUCAUUAUUUCUUUCCCGUCCUCAGUCCCCCCGGGGCAGCGCUGCCAGCUGGCUGCGCUCCGAGUAAUGAGAUGGGAAUGCUGUCUCACGGAGGCCACGCCACGGCAGCUAAGUAUAGACGGCAGCUUCCCGGCACACCCCCCGCCUGCAUGCGCUAGAACAAUUAUAGGAAGGAGGCGUAAUUGCGACCUUGACCUGCGAGAGCACGGUCUUCUCUGUCUGGGGCCUGGGCUCUCCCUGGGUGAAAGGACAGCGUUCCUGGUCCGGCAGCUGGGGACGCUCUGUUCCUCUGUUACCUUUGGACUUGGUGGCUCCCGGACUGUGUUACAUCACAGAAGUGUCCACUGUGACUCGGAGCGUGCGGGGCUCAAAGGACAGUCCUCCACGGGCGGAGAUGAAUAGGCCUCAUUAGUGAGUCACAUUCCUUUCCCUUGGCCUCCCUUAUAAUUAGGGUGGCGGACACGCUGGCUGGCCCGAGACAGUUUCGGUUUGUGCCGGUUGCACCUGGGUGAUUAUUAACAACACCCACUUUCGCUCCCAGAAGGGACCUGGUUGGGGGACACAUUUCUUUUUUAACCCUCACCUGAGGACGCCUUUAUUGAUCUUAGAGGGAGGUGGAGGGAGGGCGGGAGAAACAGAAACAUUGAUCUGAGAGGGAUGCCGAUCAGGUGCCUUCUGUCUGCGCCCCACCUGGGAACUGAACCUGCGACGAAGGUCUGUGCCCUGACCAGGGAUCGAACCCACAACCUUCUGGUAUAUGGGACAAUGUUCCAAUCAAUCGAGCCACCAGCUAGGGUGGUUGGGUGAUCGAUUUGAAGAUGCCUGGUUUGUACUCUGGAGGACAAGGAGGAAGGCAAAACCUCUUCAUGGGGUGGACCCCCUGGAGAGUGUGCCUACGGAGGCAGGAGGAGUGUCGCAGACCGCUCUGCCUGGUUUCAGGACUUGAAUCUCUCUCCCUUGUGGCGAGGGGCGAGGGACGACCUCUGGAGUGCCAACUGCAGGAGACAAAGCCUGUCUCUGGUAGCAAAUGCUGCCUCAGUUCCUCUCCCUGCCCCCAGAGCUUAGUCAGAAGUCAGUGACGGGUAAGACCCCUCACAGCGGGGGGAGGGGGGGCAACCUAAGCCAGACUCGAUCACUGGGCAGGCCUUUGUGGAAGGACUCGCGGGGCUGCAACAAAGAGCAAUGGGCUCUCACCCUCACCCCCUUCCUGGCUUUGACAUAGCCUGAGUCCCCACGUUCUCUGGGAGAAGCGCUUCCUGGCUCUAAUCCCCUUAAGCCUGAAUACCUGUUGGGGAGAGGUGCAGCUCCUUGCCUUGCUAGAGUGUGUCCUGGGGAAAAAUCUGGCAUCACAAAGACUUGCUGAUAAACCUGUGAAAUCUGCUCUGCUAAGGGUGCUUUCAUUCAUAUGAUAAGGGUCCGAGAGGAAAUGAGUAUGUCUCCCAAAGUUUCUGCAACUCUCUUCCUGACAGACACUGACUCAGACUCUGAAGCCCUCAGACCUCUUUGUAAUGUUAUCUACUGUUUGAUCCUUGCCGCCUUGUAUUCCUGUGUAUUAGAACCCAAUAAAAGGCUAUGGAUGUGGG